rnacentral:rRNA from 1 species
ACUUGCCCUAUGGAGAAAAAUAACCUCGGGAAACUGAGUAAUGUUUCAUAUGAAAAGGCUUGGAAAAGUUUUCAAUUAAAAGGAUAGGAAAUGGUCCUAUCGCCAUAGAUAGAUCGUGUCGAUUAUGGUAGUUGGUGAGGUGAGGCUCACCAAGCCGAUAAUCGAUAGGGCCGUGAGAGCGGGAGCCCCGAGAUGGGUACUGUAGAACAGCGACCCAGUGACCUUACGAAGGCGCAGCAGGCGCGGAACCUCCGCAAUACACGAAAGUGUGACGGGGUUACCCAAAGUGUUCUCUUAAGAACUGUGGCGAGUGAGUAAUGUUCCUCGCUAGAAAGGAGAGGGCAAGGCUGGUGCCAGCCGCCGCGGUAAAACCAGCUCUUCAAGUGGUCGGGAUAAUUAUUGGGCCUAAAGUGUCCGUAGCCGGUUUAGUAAGUUCCUGGUAAAAUCGGGUAGCUUAACUAUCUGUAUGCUAGGAAUACUGCUAUACUAGAGGGCGGGAGAGGUCUGAGGUACUACGGGGGUAAGGGUGAAAUCGUAUAAUCCUGNUAGGACCACCAAGUGGCGAAGGCGUCAGACUGGAACGCGCCUGACGGUGAGGGACGAAAGCCAGGGGAGCGAACCGGGUUAGAUACCCGGGUAGUCCUGGCCGUAAACGAUGCAUACUAGGUGAUGGCACGGCCAUGAGCCAUGUCAGUGCCGUAGGGAAACCGUUAAGUGUGCCGCCUGGGAAGUACGGUCGCAAGGCUAAAACUUAAAGGAAUUGGCGGGGGAGCACCACAAGGGGUGAAGCCUGCGGUUCAAUUGGACUCAACGCCGGGAAACUUACCAGGGGAGACAGUAGGAUGAUGGUCAGGUUGACGACCUUGCCUAACGAGCUGAGAGGAGGUGCAUGGCCGUCGCCAGUUCGUGCUGUGAGGUAUCCUGUUAAGUCAGGCAACGAACGAGAUCCGCACCUUUAUUUGCCACCAAGAAGUUACGACUUCGUUGGGAACACUAAAGGGACCGCCGUUCGAUAAGACGGAGGAAGGAGCGGGCAAAGGCAGGUCAGUAUGCCCCGAAACCCCUGGGCUACACGCGGGCUGCAAUGAUAUGAACAAUGGGCUGUGACUCCGAAAGGAGAAACCAAUCCCGAAAUCAUAUCACAGUGGGGAUUGUCGGCUGUAACCCGCUGACAUGAACGUGGAAUCCCUAGUA